rnacentral:rRNA from 1 species
CCUACGGGAGGCAGCAGUGGGGAAUAUUGCACAAUGGGCGCAAGCCUGAUGCAGCGACGCCGCGUGAGCGAUGAAGGCCUUCGGGUCGUAAAGCUCUGUCCUAAGGGAAGAAUAAUGACGGUACCUUAGGAGGAAGCUCCGGCUAACUACGUGCCAGAAGCCGCGGUAAUACGUGGUGGGAGAGCGUUCUCCGGACUCACUGGGCGUAAAGGGUGCGUAGGCGGCCCUGCAAGUCAGGAGUUAAAUCCAUCGGCUAAACCGAGGUCAGCUCUUGAAACUGUAGGGCUUGAGUGCAGGAGAGGAGGGCGGAAGUCCUAGUGUAGCGGUGAAAUGCGUAGAUAUUAGGAGGAACACCAGUGGCGAAGGCGGCUCUCUGGACUGCAACUGACGCUGAGGCACGAAAGCGUGGGGAGCGAACAGGAUUAGAUACCCUGGUAGUC